AUUUAAAAAAAUAUUAUUUUGAAACAGAAAAACUGUAGAGUUUAAAAUAUGCCUGUUAUAGAAUGGAAAAUUCUAUUUUAUAUGUCAUGACUUUUUUUUUUUUUAAUUUUUUGAGACAGAGUCUGGCUCUGUUGACCAGGCUGGAGCGCAGGGGCGGGAUCUCAGCUCACUGCAGCCUCCAUCUCCUGGGAUCAAGUGAUUCUCCUGCCUCUGCCUCCCAAGUAGCUGGGACUGCAGUGUGCGCCACCAUGUCCGACUAAUUUUUGUAUUUUUAGUAGAGAUGGGGUUUUGCCGUGUUGGCCAGGCUGGUCUUGAACUCCCAGCCUCAAGUAAUCUGCCGCCUCUGCCACCCUAUGUGUUGAGAUUACAGGCGUGAGCCACCGCACCUGGGCACAUUGCCACUUUUUCUAUUCUCAAGAAACAUUUGUGAUGCUCUGGGUGUGUUUGUGUGUUUCAUUAGUGUGUCAAUAUUUGUAAGAAAUCACCAAUGAAGCUUCGUGAACUCGAGAUUAUUUUUAUUAUAGUCAAUGUUUUUCACACACACACACAUAUAUAUACACACACACACACAUCUAAAAUGAGUCAGAUUCUCUGAUUACUCUUAUGUUCAUUAUGUAAACUCCAGUUUAGAAUAUUUCAUCUAUUUAAUCUGCAAUUUCUAGUAUAUUGGCAUAGGUUUGCCGCCUGUUCCAUUGUUAGUUUUGGAAAACGUGUGUACGAUCUGUAGGGCUGUCUGCUGGCUCACUCCCAUAUGGAAAUGCAUGCCUGCUCUUUCUUUCUCUUUUUCAUUGUAGUUAGAAUUCAUGAGUGUGAUUCAUGUUUUCAAGAAUGAGCUUCACUGGCUUUGUUGAAUUUUCAAGCUUUGGUUUUUCCUCAUGAACAACUCCUCUUAUUAUUGUUAUUAUUCCCUUUCUUACGCCUUCAUUUGGAAUAACUUGUUAUUCUUCUAAAUUUCUUUUUUCUCUUUUUCUUUCUUUUUUUUUUUUUUUUUUAAUUUGAGAUGGAGUCUCCCUCUGUCGCCAGGCUGGAGAGCAGUGGUGCGAUCUUGGCUCACUGAAACCUCUGACUCCCUGGUUCAAGCGAUUCUCC
rnacentral:lncRNA from 10 species